UACGUAGGGUGCAAGCGUUGUCCGGAAUUAUUGGGCGUAAAGGGCGCGUAGGCGGCUCGACAAGUCCCGCGUGAAAGCCCCCGGCUCAACUGGGGAACUGCGCGGGAAACUGUCGGACUUGAGUUCGGGAGAGGGAAGCGGAAUUCCGGGUGUAGCGGUGAAAUGCGUAGAUAUCCGGAGGAACACCGGUGGCGAAGGCGGCUUCCUGGACCGACACUGACGCUGAGGCGCGAAAGCUAGGGGAGCAAACGGG
rnacentral:rRNA from 1 species